UACGAAGGGGGCUAGCGUUGCUCGGAAUCACUGGGCGUAAAGCGCACGUAGGCGGCUUUUUAAGUCAGGGGUGAAAUCCUGGAGCUCAACUCCAGAACUGCCUUUGAUACUGAGAGCUUGAGUCCGGGAGAGGUGAGUGGAACUGCGAGUGUAGAGGUGAAAUUCGUAGAUAUUCGCAAGAACACCAGUGGCGAAGGCGGCUCACUGGCC
rnacentral:rRNA from 1 species